rnacentral:piRNA from 1 species
UAGAGGAUGAGAAGGAGCUGACCUUGC